GUGGUAAUUCUAGAGCUAAUACAUGCUAAAAAUCCCGACUUACGGAGGGAUGUAUUUAUUAGAUUAAAAACCAAUGCCCUUCGGGGCUCUUUGGCGAUUCAUAAUAACUUGUCGAAUCGCAUGGCCUUGCGCCGGCGAUGGUUCAUUCAAAUUUCUGCCCUAUCAACUUUCGAUGGCAGGGUAUUGGCCUGCCAUGGUUACAACGGGUAACGGAGGGUUAGGGCUCGACCCCGGAGAAGGAGCCUGAGAAACGGCUACUACAUCCAAGGAAGGCAGCAGGCGCGCAAAUUACUCAAUCCCGACACGGGGAAGUAGUGACAAUAAAUACUGAUACAGGGCUCUUUUGGGUCUUGUAAUUGGAAUGAGUACAAUUUAAAUCCCUUAACGAGGAACAAUUGGAGGGCAAGUCUGGUGCCAGCAGCCGCGGUAAUUCCAGCUCCAAUAGCGUAUAUUAAAGUUGUUGCAGUUAAAAAGCUCGUAGUUGAACCUUGGGCCUGGCCGGCCGGUCCGCCUCACCGCGUGCACUGGUUCGGCCGGGCCUUUCCCUCUGGGGAACCCCAUGCCCUUCACUGGGUGUGUGGGGGAACCAGGACUUUUACUGUGAAAAAAUUAGAGUGUUCAAAGCAGGCCUAUGCUCGAAUACAUUAGCAUGG
rnacentral:rRNA from 1 species